GACGAACGCUGGCGGCGUGCCUAAUACAUGCAAGUCGAGCGAAUGGAAGGGAGCUUGCUCCCUGAGGUUAGCGGCGGACGGGUGAGUAACACGUGGGCAACCUGCCUGUAAGACUGGGAUAACUUCGGGAAACCGGAGCUAAUACCGGAUACGUUCUUUCCUCGCAUGAGGAAAGAUGGAAAGAUGGUUUCGGCUAUCACUUACAGAUGGGCCCGCGGCGCAUUAGCUAGUUGGUGGGGUAAUGGCCUACCAAGGCGACGAUGCGUAGCCGACCUGAGAGGGUGAUCGGCCACACUGGGACUGAGACACGGCCCAGACUCCUACGGGAGGCAGCAGUAGGGAAUCUUCCGCAAUGGACGAAAGUCUGACGGAGCAACGCCGCGUGAGCGAAGAAGGCCUUCGGGUCGUAAAGCUCUGUUGUCAGGGAAGAACAAGUGCCAGAGUAACUGCUGGCACCUUGACGGUACCUGACCAGAAAGCCACGGCUAACUACGUGCCAGCAGCCGCCGUAACAC
rnacentral:rRNA from 1 species